rnacentral:rRNA from 1 species
UUUCAACUUGAGAGUUUGAUCCUGGCUCAGAACGAACGCUGGCGGCAGGCUUAACACAUGCAAGUCGAGCGCCCCGCAA